GCAAGAGCGGUGCCUGGCAACAAGCGCGCUGUUUCUGUGGCCCGGGGCGGGCGUAGUUGGAUCUAGCCGUACUGCAGAGGCAUCUGGGUCCCAGAUGGGCACAGAGGGUACCGAUGAGGAUGAUUUUCAAUUCUCACAGGAUAUCCCUAAACUCUAGGCAAAGUGCGUGUUGUUAGUCGUGACAUACACCAGACAGCGACUUCGUCUUACAAAUAGGAAAAUGGAAGCGUGGCGCUGUAAAUGGCGAACGACAUAUAAGUUGGACUGGGAAAGAGCGGCUUUCCCUCCUUCAGAAUCUGUGGAGAGAAGCUCAGAGGAGGAGUAGGGGAACUAUUGGCGAGGAGGUUAGGGUCUACCCUGUUCUUCUGACUCAAGCAACCCCGGCUUUUUGCUAAGGCAAACAUGGCUCUGAGAACAGUUGAAAAAACAAAGGCUAAGAAGGCGCAUUUCUCCUUAGAGCAGGACAACAGCCGUCUGUCUAUAGGGCAAUCCUGGGGCCAAACCAUUUAGGUUUCUGAGAAAGCCCCUGGUGAUGCUUGAAAUUAAGAGACGUCUCUGGAUUAGAAAAGUAAAGAAGUGACCUACGUGUGUCUGUUUCAAAAUGGUCUCCUUUAUCUUUCUCAGUAACCUUUGGGUUUGUCCUUGGAGUGAAGUUGAUGCUUGCAGAAUGGCAGGUGACAGGUGCAGGAAACUGCAGAGGGACAAGCCAACUGUGUCUAUCUUGUAGCUGUGGCCCAGCUUCAAAAUGGGUGCGAAUUCUUGGAUAGCAAGCAGAACUAGAGAUUAGCCACUGCGUCUUGCUAGGCCCUGCCAUCCACAUCCACUUGUGCUCAGCCUUGUCUAGUCUUUAACACAGGUGGAGAACCAGCAGAUGCUGUUCAUAUUCUCAAAACUGGAAGUUGGACUUCGAUUUUGUUGUUAUUGUUUUGAAGCAAGAUUGACAAAGUUACUGGAUCAGUAACCCAGACUGGCCAGGGACUCUCUGUGUAAGCCAGGCUGGUUCGUCAGAGAGCUGGGAUUAUAACCCUCUUCCCCCCUUUUAAGGACAUCAAGGGCUCUGGGCAUCGUGAGAGUUUCCUUUUGUGUUUUGAUGGGGAUCAAGAGCAACACUGCCUGGACCCCUUCCUGGACACCCGCCAGGAGUCAUCUAAGAGAGGCUAAAGGAAUGCAAGUGUUUUCUGGAGAUGGCCCACCAUUUUUACGUGUCCUACAAUGGGUCAGCUCUGAGAGGCCAGGCCCAAAGAGACUUCAUCUCAGGAUUGCUUCUUGCUAUUAUAUGCUUUUCCUGUCACCAUUACAUAGUUUAAUGAUUCCUGGGCAAAAGCUGAACUUUCAUGAAUUAAUGCUGUUUAGACAACUUAAUGAUUUUGUAGAAUUUCUGCUUUGAUUCAAACAAUUUUAGGAAGAACAUUUUUGGGAGAUAGUUUUGGCUGUUUUGCUAAACAGAUAUAAUAAAAUCAGAAUCAAGAAUAAAA
rnacentral:lncRNA from 1 species